rnacentral:sRNA from 1 species
AGAGCAAGAUGCAAAAUUUAAACUUAUGCAUAUUGAUAUAUCUCGAUUUUUACUGAUUUUAGAUAUGAUCUUGGUAUAGCUUUUAGAGUCUUUUUGUUAUUUUUAGAAUCUUUUUUAGUUUUUUUUCAGGUUUUUACACGUUUGGGAUGCAUUUGGAGAUUAUUGAGCAUUCUGGAGCAAAACCGAGAAGUUAUGCUGCAAAAAUAAUCUGGAGACAAAAAUUGGUGUAGGUGUCGAUCGACACCACCCCUGGUGUCAUUAGACACCAAUAUCUGACGGCAAUUCAUUUCGAGUCUUUGCAGAUUCGUCUCUAAACUUUCCCUUAUCGAUUUUUAAAGUCAUUGUUUAGACAUAAGCUUGAGAGGCUAAUCUCCUUUUUUUACUUUGUUCUUGUGAGCAAAACCCUGUGAAACUCCCUUUAGAGAAGAUCUUUCUAAACUCUAAACUCUUUUCAAUUUCUUUAAGAUUUCUUAUUCAAUCAUGUUAUUUGCUUCAAUCUCCAUGUUUGAGUAGUUCUCUUGUUGGGUUUAGGGUUUCUCAUUAAGGAUUUAGAUGAAUUAGUAGAUCGAUAACAUGUUAUGAUUAUCUUUAAAGUUCUUCAUCUUAAUCGUUCUUAAUGCUAAUUCUAGAGUAACUAACUAGAACUUGAUCAUAGAUUAAUAGGUAAGAUUCGAGAGGCCGCUUAUUACCCGCACUAUCAUAGAUGGGCUUAAACAUCUAAAUACGGAUACGUCUGGUUUAGAUGCUUAGGUGAACUUAUCAAACUUGAUUAUAAUGCAUGCUUAGUGUUUAAGGAUUUUCAUACGAGAGUUGGGAUUCCUAUUUAUUAAGCAUAUUUAAUCAAUACAUAUGGGAGUUGGUUGAUUAUAGGCUAGUGAUUUAAGUUUUAGAACGGUUCGAUAAUAAUCCUAAUUAACUGAUAUAUCUAUUAUUCAUCUAUUUUCCUGAGAACUUCUCUAGACCCGACGUUUUAAUUUUUGAAUCUGAAAUUAAUUUAUUUGCUUUCUUUGUCUUUUAAUUUACAAUCUUUUCGUUUAACUUAAUUCGAUAGCCAUAAGUCUAUUAUGU